rnacentral:tRNA from 1 species
GAGAGUAUAGCUCAAAUGGUAGAGCGCAUGCUUAGCAUGCAUGAGGUUCUGGGUUUAAUUCCCAGCACCUCCU